CCCUUAGAUGUCCUGGGCCGCACGCGCGUUACACCGUUGCAUUCAACGAGCUUAUAACCUUGGCCGAGAGGCCUGGGCAAUCUUGUUAACGUGCAUCGUGAUAGGGAUAGAUUAUUGAAAUUAUUAAUCUUGAACGAGGAAUUCCUAGUAAACGCAGAUCAUCAAUCUGCAUUGAUUACGUCCCUGCCCUUUGUACACACCGCCCGUCGCACCUACCGAUUGGAUGGUCCGGUGAAGCCUCGGGAUUGUGGUUCUUGCCGCUUUAUUGUGGCGUGACCGCGAGAACUUGUCUAAACCUUAUCAUCUAGAGGAAGGUGAAGUCGUAACA
rnacentral:rRNA from 1 species